GACGGAAGGUGCAAGCGUUGCUCGGAAUCACUGGGCGUAAAGGGUGCGUAGGCGGCGCGGUAAGUCACUUGUGAAAUCUCUGAGCUUAACUCAGAACGGCCAAGUGAUACUGCAGUGCUAGAGUGCAGAAGGGGCAAUCGGAAUUCUUGGUGUAGCGGUGAAAUGCGUAGAUAUCAAGAGGAACACCUGAGGUGAAGACGGGUUGCUGGGCUGACACUGACGCUGAGGCGCGAAAGCUAGGGUAGCAAACGGG
rnacentral:rRNA from 1 species